ensembl:lncRNA LINC02064 long intergenic non-protein coding RNA 2064
AGAAGAGGAAAGGCUGGGGGUUUCGGAUGGUUGUUUUUGAAGCCAUCAGUAUUCUUGAAGAAGCAGCAUAUCUUGAACUGUCCUAUGGGUGAAGGCUUUGAUGUGGUCCUGUAAAAACUGGCAUUGAAAUGGAUGGCAUCUGAUCCUGCUUCAUGUGAUUCUUCAUUUAGCUCUGGACUCUUUACAUCAUUAAGGUACCCUGAAUAUAUUCAGUAUGCUUAUGCAACAUGAAAAUGGCAAGGAUGAAGACCUUUAUGAUGAUCCAUUUCCAUUUAAUGAAUAGAAGAAGUGUUAUCAAUUCUGUUGAUGGACCCCUUAAUCUCUUCUACUGAUUAUCUUCUACUUGAACCAGUGCCAAAUUAAUGUUGCAAGCUUUGUCUUGAAAUAUUUUCUUCUGAGCAUCAGCCAGAGAUCACUGAUUGGUUCACAGGAAUAAGCAGGGUUACUCUAAACUGCUUGAAAAGGAAACCUCAAAAACAACUGAUGAAACUAGAAUUUAAUAACAAGUGUACCAUAAUUCUUGAAACAUAAUUUUUCUCUCUCUAGUCUUUCAUUUUUACCAAAGACAAAUCAUGAAACAUGCACUAACCAGUGGAAAAGCUUGCCUAAGUGAUUGUUGUCAUAAUGACACGGAUUCAAUGAAUAAUUCUAUUCAUGGAAUUUCAUCAGCUUAAUAAGGAAAGAGUAAACAAAA